rnacentral:rRNA from 1 species
UGGCUCAGAACGAACGCUGGCGGCAUGCCUAACACAUGCAAGUCGAACGAAGCCUUCGGGCUUAGUGGCGCACGGGUGCGUAACGCGUGGGAACCUGCCUUUAGGUUCGGAAUAACUCAGAGAAAUUUGAGCUAAUACCGGAUAAUGUCUUCGGACCAAAGAUUUAUCGCCUUUAGAUGGGCCCGCGUUAGAUUAGAUAGUUGGUGGGGUAAUGGCCUACCAAGUCGACGAUCUAUAGCUGGUCUGAGAGGAUGAUCAGCCACACUGGGACUGAGACACGGCCCAGACUCCUACGGGAGGCAGCAGUGGGGAAUAUUGGACAAUGGGCGAAAGCCUGAUCCAGCAAUGCCGCGUGAGUGAUGAAGGCCUUAGGGUUGUAAAGCUCUUUUACCAGGGAUGAUAAUGACAGUACCUGGAGAAUAAGCUCCGGCUAACUCCGUGCCAGCAGCCGCGGUAAUACGGAGGGAGCUAGCGUUGUUCGGAAUUACUGGGCGUAAAGCGCGCGUAGGCGGCUUUUUAAGUCAGGGGUGAAAUCCCGGGGCUCAACCCCGGAACUGCCCUUGAAACUGGAUGGCUAGAAUACUGGAGAGGUGAGUGGAAUUCCGAGUGUAGAGGUGAAAUUCGUAGAUAUUCGGAAGAACACCAGUGGCGAAGGCGACUCACUGGACAGUUAUGACG